rnacentral:rRNA from 1 species
UGGGGAAUUUUGGACAAUGGGCGAAAGCCUGAUCCAGCAAUGCCGCGUGUGUGAAGAAGGCCUUCGGGUUGUAAAGCACUUUUGUCCGGAAAGAAAUCCUUGGCUCUAAUACAGUCGGGGGAUGACGGUACCGGAAGAAUAAGCACCGGCUAACUACGUGCCAGCAGCCGCGGUAAUACGUAGGGUGCAAGCGUUAAUCGGAAUUACUGGGCGUAAAGCGUGCGCAGGCGGUUUGCUAAGACCGAUGUGAAAUCCCCGGGCUCAACCUGGGAACUGCAUUGGUGACUGGCAGGCUAGAGUAUGGCAGAGGGGGGUAGAAUUCCACGUGUAGCAGUGAAAUGCGUAGAGAUGUGGAGGAAUACCGAUGGCGAAGGCAGCCCCCCUGGGCCAAUACUGACGCUCAUGCACGAAAGCGUGGGGGAGCAAACAGGAUUAGAUACCCUGGUAGUCCACGCCCUAAACGAUGUCACUAGUUGUUGGGGAUUCAUUUCCUAGUAACGUAGCUAACGCGUGAAGUUGACCGCCUGGGGAGUACGGUCGCAAGAUUAAAACUCAAAUGAAUUGACGGGGUCAUAGCUGUUUCCU